rnacentral:rRNA from 1 species
UACGAAGGGUGCAAACGUUGCUCGGAAUUACUGGGCGUAAAGGGCUCGUAGGCGGCCAACUAAGUCAUACGUGAAAUCCCUCGGCUUAACCGGGGAACUGCGUCUGAUACUGGAUGGCUUGAGAUUGGGAGAGGGAUGCGGAAUUCCAGGUGUAGCGGUGAAAUGCGUAGAUAUCUGGAGGAACACCCGUGGCGAAGGCGGCUCUCUGGUACGUGACUGACGCUGAGACGCGAAAGCGUGGGGAGCGAACAGG